rnacentral:rRNA from 1 species
GACGAACGCUGGCGGCGUGCCUAAUACAUGCAAGUAGAACGCACAGUUUAUAUAGUAGCUUGAUCCACAAUAAACUGUGAGUUGCGAACGGGUGAGUAACGCGUAGGUAACCUGCCUGGUAGCGGGGGAUAAAUCUUGGAAACGAUAGCUAAUACCGCAUAAUAUUAAUUAUUGCAUGAUAAUUGAUUGAAAGAUGCAAUUGCAUCACUAUCAGAUGGACUUGCGUUGUAUUAGCUAGUAGGUGAGGUAAAGGCUCACCAAGGCGAUGAUACAUAGACGACACGAGAGGGUGAUCGGCAACAGUGGGAAGGAGACACGGCACAAACUCAGACGGGAGGCAGAAGAAGGGAAUCUUAGGCAAUGGACGAAAGUCUGACAGAGCAAGGACGAGUGAGUGAAGAAGGUUUUCGGAUAGUAAAACUCUGUUGGUAGAGAAGAACGUUGGUGAGAGUGGAAAGAUCAUCAAGUGACGGUAACUACAAAGAAAGGGACGGCUAACUACGUG